AACUGUUGCCUGGGUCAAAAUAAGGCAUCGACGACAUAAAACCGUUUCACUUCACUAUGCCUAUCUACACACUUUUAUUCUUUCGUUUACGACAUACCUCUCAAUACAGGCGAUGAAUGCUUAGGGACAAAAAAGUUAUCUAAAUCGGAAAUAUGUUUGGCGUAUGGCUCUAAAAACAGAAGCCUGACAACCACUGAAAGAGCCCUUAACUGGAAAGAUCCACAUUUUAAUUUGAAUUUGGUGAUCAGUGGUUGUAAGAUAUUAGCCUUCAAUAAAAUAAAUAUUAAAAAUAGCGAUAUUUUAACCUCAGUGUCGUCUGGCAAUUUUAAAAACAAGAACAAACUAACGACACCCCCCGGCUUCCCCCUCCAACUUCCACAUGAGGCGCUAACUGAAUGUUUUGAUUAGAGCUGUGAAUUCCGGGGUCCUGUGUGACGUCACGACCGAAACUCUCGCGUUGUUUGCCAUCGCUACGCUCCGCCUCCGGCCGCUUUCUUGGUGUGUUGUCAUAGUAAUGGAGUACUGCGGGCAUGUGAAUCAGCUGCCAGCUGAUGCAAGCAAAAGACCCUGCCGACACCCACUGACUAAACUUUAUGAUCCAGUUGUGACUAAACAUAACAAGGAUCAGCUCCUGCAGAAGUGCGAGCAGAUGAGCCCAACACUUACAUCUGAGGACUGUCCAAGACUGGAAGACAUAUGUCAGCUGUGAUACAGCAGCAAGAUGAAAAUGGUGGCAACACAAGAGUACCAAAGGCCCCUGAAUGAUGUUUGUCUAUUUAAAAUGUGUGCUAUUAUAAAUAUACAUCUGUCUAAAUCAGUGGAGAAGGGUCUGGGCCAUUUAUGUCAUUUCUUGACCCCCAGAGGAGGCUUAGGUUAGGUCUGCAGCCAGACCUUUUUGAAUAAGAAAAAUUCAAUUCAUAGUACAGGAAGAUAGUAAUAACCACACAGAACAUUCAUUGUGUUUUCAUUGUAGUGUAUAAUGUGAAUGCAUCUCUUAAUACAGCAGCAUCAAUGAAGAACCUUAUGUGACUUGCAGCAUGCAUUCACCACAAUACUAGAACAGGACAAUUAUCACAAUUAAAAUAUUUUUUCUUUAUAAAAUUUAGCAUAACUUCCACACUUUAAAAUGCAAUAUCAUAACACAGAUUGUCUUUUGUCAAUUGUUAAGUGUCUAAUACUAAAGCUGAAGCAC